GGAUGUGAGGGCAAUCUGGCUGUGCCAUCUGUCACCCCAUUGAUCGCCAGGGUUGAUUGGGCUGAUCUGGCUGGCUGGGCGGAUAUCCCCUUCCUCCCUCAAUGAUCCAUGUGUGUCCCUCCCCAAGCUGCACACUGUGGGUGGAAGAGGAGGCCCAUGCCCAAUAGUGGAGGACCGUUCCUUGGUCAAGGGUGUACAAGUAGCUUCGCUCCCCUGCNNNNNNNNNN
rnacentral:sRNA from 1 species